GAUGAACGCUGGCGGCGUGCCUAAUACAUGCAAGUCGAGCGAACAGACGAGGAGCUUGCUCCUCUUACGUUAGCGGCGGACGGGUGAGUAACACGUGGAUAACCUACCUAUAAGACUGGGAUAACUUCGGGAAACCGGAUCUAAUACCGGAUAAUAUAUUGAACCGCAUGGUUCAAUAGUGAAAGCCGGUUUUGCUGUCACUUAUAGAUGGAUCCUCGCCGCAUUAGCUAGUUGGUAAGGUAACGGCUUACCAAGGCAACGAUGCGUAGCCGACCUGAGAGGGUGAUCGGCCACACUGGAACUGAGACACGGUCCAGACUCCUACGGGAGGCAGCAGUAGGGAAUCUUCCGCAAUGGGCGAAAGCCUGACGGAGCAACGCCGCGUGAGUGAUGAAGGUCUUCGGAUCGUAAAACUCUGUUAUUAGGGAAGAACAAAUGUGUAAGUAACUAUGCACGUCUUGACGGUACCAAAUCAGAAAGCCACGGCUAACUACGUG
rnacentral:rRNA from 1 species